rnacentral:rRNA from 1 species
CAGCUCCAAUAGCGUAUAUUAAAGUUGUUGCAGUUAAAAAGCUCGUAGUUGGAUCUAGGGACGCGCAUUUCAAGCGCCCGUGCCGUCGGGUCAAACCGGCGGCUGCGUUGGCGUUGCGGGCUCGGUCCGUCGGUGCCCCACAAAGGGCUAUCGGCGUGUCAACCGGCCCGCCCGUCCCCUCCUUCUGGAUUCCCGUUCCUGCUAUUGAGUUAGUGGGGACGUCACAGGGGGCUCAUGGUCGUCGUGCAAACGGCGGCGGUGGGUCCCUGGGGCCCAGAUCGUUUACCGUGAAAAAAUUAGAGUGUUCAAAGCAGGCAGAUCCAAUUUUCUGCCACCGAAUACAUUAGCAUGGGAUAAUGGAAUAGGACCCUGUCCUCCUAUUUUCAGUUGGUUUUGGCAGCGCGAGGACUAGGGUAAUGAUUAAUAGGGAUAGUUGGGGGCAUUAAUAUUUAAUUGUCAGAGGUGAAAUUCUUGGAUUUAUGAAAGAUUAACUUCUGCGAAAGCAUCUGCCAAGGAUGUUUUCAUUAAUCAAGAACGAAAGUUAGGGGAUCGAAGACGAUCAGAUACCGUCGUAGUCUUAACCAUAAACGAUGCCGACCAGCGAUUAGGAGACGUUGAAUACAAAACACCACCAUCGGUGCGGUCGUCCUUGGCGUCGGUUUCGGCCGGCGCGGGGGUGGCUUAGCCCGGUGGCACCGGUGAA